UCAUCCUGGCCCGUUUUCGGAAGACCGCAC
rnacentral:sRNA from 1 species